UUAUGCUGAACUACUGAUAUUUUAAACAUAGUUUGAAUACUUGACUCUUUAUGUUUGUGGAAGCUUUAUUUUUAAAACUGUUUUAUUCAUUGGUUUGAUAAUGAAUAAAUUUCAUUGUUUGAACAUAAAGUAGAUGCGGAAUUAUUAGGUCAUAACUCUUGAAUAUCGUAGAUAAUUAAAAGUUAAAGUUAUACAUGUGCAAAAUACUUUAAAUCUUUUACAACAAUAACACAGUAUGAGAUCAACCUUUUUAAAAUUAAAAUAUAGAUAUAUUAACAUAUUCUGUAUUAUUAUGGGACCAGUAAAAUAUCACAAAAUACAUAAAGCAAAACAAGGUCAGGUCUUACUUUUUAUUUUAAAUAAACAUAUUCCUGAACAGACUUUCGGGGAAAAUGCGAUCGAUAUAUGUCGCUGAUAUAUGUUUAAUUUGUAACUGAUUAGUAUGGUGUAUUGCAUCGUCUUAUUCGUAAUAAUAUUUGAAUAAGAACAUGUAGGAAGUUAAAUGAACAGCUGCGGUUUUUGGGUGUGACUUUUCCUGCUGGGGCUUUGUCCUUGUUGUUUACACAUGCUAAAAGAGAAUUCAUUUCAUAAAUUUCAGAAUAGCCUUUGGCUAAUUAUCUAGUAUUAAAUCCCUUGCUGUUUUACAAUGAAAUCCCUAUGGCUUUCUAUUCUUCCCAGAAUGUUGCCUUUGUAGUUCCGCUAAUUACUUUUUCUUCCAAUUUAUUUGAUAAUAGAAUGACGAUGCGGUCUUCAAAAGCAGUUCUGCUAAAAGUUCUAAUUUUACUUGUUUAAUUUACAAUUUGGUACUAUCACCGGGUGACGAAAAGGCUGUUGCUAAGCGCCAAGCAUCUAAAGAAAAAAGACAUGCCGAAUAGAUUUAGUCUACAUUGUUCAUUUGGAAGAUCAAGGCUUGAUGCAAAGGUAAUACCAAAUGUCACAGCCCAAAGAUACGAAAUAGGUUCCAGAAGGCCAGUGUUAUUAGAAGCAAUAUAUUCCAUUGAACUUAGACGGCGGAAAUGUGAUAUAUAAAAAACCUUUGAAUGUGUUGGUGGUGGAUAUCUAAAGAAGGUGUACCUUCCAGGGAUGAAUAUUACGUGAUUAAAUAAUGAUGAAGAUGGGGAACGGAAACAUUUUCUAGUCGUCUGGAAACAAUAUCAAGACUUUUCAGCUACAGUUGAUGUGCUGAUAUAUUUCGGUAGAACUAAUUCGAAGUAUUUUACUUCAAUUAAAGCAGGACAUAUGAUCAUUCAAAUAUACUAUGAACAAAUCAAUACUGAUAAAGCGAAAAUGCUUUAUUUGUUGAAACAUUUACAUGAUGAACUUGCUUAAAGGAAACACGCCUAACUAAACAGAAAUGUUUUAUGAACGUAAGGUUGCUUUGAGUAUCUGGAGAGUGUAUUCGCCAAUAUUGCUUAUUUUCGGAACAAUAGGAAAUCUUAUGGCAAUAAUUGUUCUGAUGCAACGCAGGAACCGCAACUCUAGUAUAGCAAGAUAUCUGACAGCGCUUGCUGUAUCCGACUUAAUGAUACUAUGGGUCGCGGUACCGAGAAACCUUCUGCA